rnacentral:tRNA from 1 species
GCCGGGAUGGCGGAACAGGUAGACGCGCGGGACUCAAAAUCCCGUUCCCUUACAGGAGUUCCGGUUCGAUUCCGGAUCCCGGCACCA